rnacentral:rRNA from 1 species
GACGAACGCUGGCGGCGUGCCUAAUACAUGCCAGUCGAACGCACAGUUUAUACCGUAGCUUGCUACACCAUAGACUGUGAGUUGCGAACGGGUGAGUAACGCGUAGGUAACCUGCCUGGUAGCGGGGGAUAACUAUUGGAAACGAUAGCUAAUACCGCAUAAUAUUAAUUAUUGCAUGAUAAUUAAUUGAAAGGUGCAAUUGCACCACUACCAGAUGGACCUGCGUUGUAUUAGCUAGUAGGUGAGGUAACGGCUCACCUAGGCGACGAUACAUAGCCGACCUGAGAGGGUGAUCGGCCACACUGGGACUGAGACACGGCCCAGACUCCUACGGGAGGCAGCAGUAGGGAAUCUUCGGCAAUGGACGAAAGUCUGACCGAGCAACGCCGCGUGAGUGAAGAAGGUUUUCGGAUCGUAAAGCUCUGUUGUAAGAGAAGAACGGGGGUGAGAGUGGAAAGUUCACACUGUGACGGUAUCUUACCAGAAAGGGACGGCUAACUACGUG